CUACGUGCCAGCAGCCGCGGUAAUACGUAGGUGGCAAGCGUUGUCCGGAAUUAUUGGGCGUAAAGCGAGCGCAGGCGGUUAGAUAAGUCUGAAGUUAAAGGCUGUGGCUUAACCAUAGUACGCUUUGGAAACUGUUUAACUUGAGUGCAGAAGGGGAGAGUGGAAUUCCAUGUGUAGCGGUGAAAUGCGUAGAUAUAUGGAGGAACACCGGUGGCGAAAGCGGCUCUCUGGUCUGUAACUGACGCUGAGGCUCGAAAGCGUGGGGAGCGAACAGGAUUAGAUACCCUGGUAGUCCACGCCGUAAACGAUGAGUGCUAGGUGUUGGAUCCUUUCCGGGAUUCAGUGCCGCAGCUAACGCAUUAAGCACUCCGCCUGGGGAGUACGACCGCAAGGUUGAAACUCAAAGGAAUUGACGGGGGCCCGCACAAGUGGUGGAGCAUGUGGUUUAAUUCGAAGCAACGCGAAGAACCUUACCAGGUCUUGACAUCCCGAUGCUAUUUCUAGAGAUAGAAAGUUA
rnacentral:rRNA from 1 species